CCUGUAGCUCAGUUGGAUAGAGCAACGGCCUUCUAAGCCGUUGGUCAGUGGUUCGAGUCCACUCA
rnacentral:tRNA from 1 species